AGACCCGAAACCCGGUGAUCUAGCCAUGGGCAGGUUGAAGGUUGGGUAACACUAACUGGAGGACCGAACCGACUAAUGUUGAAAAAUUAGCGGAUGACCUGUGGCUGGGGGUGAAAGGCCAAUCAAACCGGGAGAUAGCUGGUUCUCCCCGAAAGCUAUUUAGGUAGCGCCUCGUGAAUUCAUCUCCGGGGGUAGAGCACUGUUUCGGCUAGGGGGCCAUCCCGGCUUACCAACCCGAUGCAAACUGCGAAUACCGGAGAAUGUUAUCACGGGAGACACACGGCGGGUGCUAACGUCCGUCGUGAAGAGGGAAACAACCCAGACCGCCAGCUAAGGUCCCAAAGUCAUGGUUAAGUGGGAAACGAUGUGGGAAGGCCCAGACAGCCAGGAUGUUGGCUUAGAAGCAGCCAUCAUUUAAAGAAAGCGUAAUAGCUCACUGGUCGAGUCGGCCUGCGCGGAAGAUGUAACGGGGCUAAACCAUGCACCGAAGCUGCGGCAGCGACACUCAGGUGUUGUUGGGUAGGGGAGCGUUCUGUAAGCCUGUGAAGGUGGCCUGUGAGGGUUGCUGGAGGUAUCAGAAGUGCGAAUGCUGACAUAAGUAACGAUAAAGCGGGUGAA
rnacentral:rRNA from 2 species